rnacentral:rRNA from 1 species
CCUACGGGGGGCUGCAGUGGGGAAUAUUGGUCAAUGGGCGCAAGCCUGACCCAGCAACGCCGCGUGAAGGAAGAAGGCUCUCGGGUUGUAAACUUCUUUUAAGAGGGAAGAGCAGAAGACGGUACCUCUUGAAUAAGCCACGGCUAACUACGUGCCAGCAGCCGCGGUAAUACGUAGGUGGCAAGCGUUGUCCGGAAUUACUGGGUUUAAAGGGCGUGUAGCCGGGCCGACAAGUCAGAUGUGAAAUUUCGGGGCUCAACCCCGGACCUGCCUUUGAAACUGGUGGUCUUGAGUGUCGGAGAGGCAGGCGGAAUUCCUGGUGUAGCGGUGAAAUGCGUAGAUAUUAGGAGGAACACCAGUGGCGAAGGCGGCCUGCUGGACGACGACUGACGGUGAGGCGCGAAAGCGUGGGGAGCAAACAGGAUUAGAUACCCUUGUAGUC